UAAGAUGUUUCGGCCAAUGGAAUCGGUUCAUUUAUCUGAUUGGCCGAAAAAAGUAAAGUCGGGACCGCCCUUAUCCCCGCUUUUGCGGCGGUUAUAAAAGAAACAUUGCUUUUCGUACCUUUAUUAAUCUCGGAGUCGGAGUCGGGAGUCGGGCGUCGGGCGCCUCUGUGUCGCGGGCGGAUUUCUCUUUGGGAGGCUCGAAAGUUUUCACUAACACGUAUCUAAUAAAACAAAUUUUUCCAAUGUUUAUCGUCGCGGCGGACGCGUACAGCGAUCGGAUUAGGAUAAUACAUGAACUUGACGAGGUCGUGGCGCCUGUGCGAACGCGAAUAGUGCAUAAUAGGAACCGGGGCGGUUGUUUAUUUCGGCGGCUGGUUACCGAGGCACCAGUGGGUCCAGUUCAAAAUGUUAUUUUCUCUAUAAAAGUGAUAGCGAGUGACGAUCGAGGUCGACCCGCCAACAAGGAGGAUAUCGAACUUGUGUGGUAACAGGACCCCGUCGAUAUUCGCCAGUUACGCGAACGCAUUAUCGACCUAAAAGUGAAGCGUCGUAAAACACGGCGAGCUCCGCGUCCGCUAAGGACGGUCUCGAGGCUCCGCGUCCAGGACGUGCAACCAAUCGGUAAUAUAUUUUGCUUUGUUCUUCUUGUUUAUUAUCGAAAGAGAAAAGUGCCCUUCGACAGGUCAGGACGGGUAGCAGCCUGCGCUGCACCGUCCUCCCGCAGGCACCGCACAGAGUACCUACCUAACGCCGCGCAUUCGAAGACACGGCGACGACGGCGAACUCCCAACUUGGUCCGUGAGUCCGUCGGUUCGUCGUUCUUGUUGUUAUUUAUUGAUUUUCUAUUUAUUACCUGCAUCGGUAGUACAUAAAUAAAUCGAAAACAUCGAGACUACACCUAGCGGCAGCAGCUGUGGCGGCGGCGGCAGAGGCGGCAGCGGCGACGGCAACGGCAGCAGUGCAGCCAGCCAGCCAGCAAACAAGCAAGCAAGCAAGCAAGCAAGCAAGCAGCGACGACUACGGACGGGAUUGAUUGCGGUGCGGCGCCGCGGCGGGCACGAGUGAAUUUAGAAAACAACAACAAUAGCAAUAGCAUAGGAAUUAGGAGGUACAAACAUUGUAUAAUAUAGUAGUUCGAAUAUAUUACUAGAAUACGUAUGUACCUACCUAUGUUUAAGUUUAUUUACCUACUAUAGGAUAUAACAUUUAUUAUUCUUUUAGUACAAGUACCUAUGUAUUUUAUACUUACACACAUAAUAUACUUACAACGUUA